rnacentral:SRP_RNA from 1 species
GGCGGGCGUGGUGGCACGUGCCUGUAGUCCCAGCUACUCGGGAGGCUGAGGCUGGAGGAUCACUUGAGCCCAGGGGUUCUGAGCUGUAGUGUGCUAUGCCGCUUGGGUGUCUGCACUAAGUUAGGCAUUAAUAUGGUGACCUCCCAGGAGCGGGGGACCACCAGGUUGCCUAAGGAGGGGUCAACUGGCCCAGGUCAGAAAUGGAGCAGGUCAAAACUCCCGUGCUGAUCAGUAGUGGGAUUGUGCCUGUGAAUAGCCACUGCACUUCAGCCUGAGCAACAUAGGAUGACCCCGUCUCU